ACCCAGACAAAACGAAACAGAAAGUAGAACUGGCAAGUAAAUAGCUUGACACCAGUCCCUACCCGGGGUAGUGGAAUUCCCCUAGUUGACGUGUGUAAGGGUCAUAUCAACUGAAUUAUUACACUAUUGUGAAGCCAAGCAGCAACUAUCACUUACCUGUUUGCCAUCAGCGGCCUCUAGCGACAGCUUGUGGAGACGGAGCAGCUGUGGGCGUCAUUCACACGACCCCGGCUGACCUCAUUGAUUGACAAAUGCUUUCGGAGAAAAUCUUGAAACCGAAAGUAAAGUUUUGUGUUUGCUUCAUCUGCACAUUGUCUCUAUAAUGUCUGACCUUGCUGGUCACAUGCACUAGAAAGUUCAUAUGAUAAUUGUAACACCCAGGUCAAGAGUCACGCAUCAACGCACGAGACAGACGAGUUCAUCCGAAGAUUAAAAAAAAA